ACCAACACAUCCGAAUCAUCACAGUCAUUAUUGCAAUUAAGAGUUCUUUGAGGUAUUCUUGUAGAAGUGGAAGCUUGUGAGACAUUCAAACUCUCCAUAGUUUCAGUUAACCUCUCAAGAGUCUUAUUGAGCCUUUGUAACUCACCACUGACUGACUUCUUAAAGAGCUUAUAAUCGUUACCCAUAUUUGAUUCACUUCCAUCAAUACGAUCCACCACAUUCUUGUCUUUACUCAUCCUACCUUAAAUCAACAAAGAACAAAAAGGACUAGCAAAUAUUGUGUUAAAAAAGAAAGUACUCAAGUGUUUGCACUCUUACCAUUCUUUUGCUGAUUCUUCAAUUGCACUUCAGAAACUAAGGUCAACCAACUAACCACAAAGUGCGUUUAAUGAAACAAAGAAGAAAUCCUAAAGAAAGAAGGAAGCGCGCAAAAACUAGAAAGAAGACACUGACAAUUUGGAAAGUAACACAUGAACUAGGUUUUGUGCUACUUGAAAAAUAUCACCUAGAGUAUAGACACAAGCAAACAAUACUCCAGCAAUGUAAAGGAAGCAAAAGCAAGCUUAAACCAAAAAAAGAAACUUAGAAAUCAAAUAAAAAUGAACCUGGAC
rnacentral:lncRNA from 1 species